rnacentral:sRNA from 1 species
UUUUAGCCCCGAUAGAAGUGGAAAUCCUUUUUGUUUUUUUCUUUAAAAAACAAAAAGAUUGCAACGAAUUGCUUCGCCAAUU